UACGUAGGGUCCGAGCGUUGUCCGGAAUUAUUGGGCGUAAAGGGCUCGUAGGCGGUUCGUCACGUCGGGAGUGAAAACUCGGGGCUUAACCCCGAGCCUGCUUCCGAUACGGGCAGACUAGAGGUAGGCAGGGGAGAGCGGAACUCCUGGUGUAGCGGUGGAAUGCGCAGAUAUCAGGAAGAACACCGGUGGCGAAGGCGGCUCUCUGGGCCUUACCUGACGCUGAG
rnacentral:rRNA from 1 species